UACGUAGGGUGCAAGCGUUAAUCGGAAUUACUGGGCGUAAAGCGUGCGCAGGCGGUUUUGUAAGUCUGUCGUGAAAGCCCCGGGCUCAACCUGGGAAUUGCGAUGGAGACUGCAAGGCUUGAAUCUGGCAGAGGGGGGGUAGAAUUCCACGUGUAGCAGUGAAAUGCGUAGAUAUGUGGAGGAACACCGAUGGCGAAGGCAGCCCCCCUGGGUCAAAAACUGACGCUCAUGCACGAAAGCGUGGGGAGCAAACAGG
rnacentral:rRNA from 1 species